rnacentral:lncRNA from 1 species
GUAUUUUCGAUUUUAGAUCUCCCCAACAUGACGUCUAGUCUGUAUCGCAACGCGUAUUUUUCUGGGCGCAGUGCUCAGAUUAUUGCAAAGUGUGAUUUCCCAGUAAGGUUAUUUUUAAAUCUGGCAAGUUGAUUGCGUUCAAGAGAUGUAAAUCUAUAAUUCUUUAAAUGACACUAUAAUAUUUUACCAAUGUUUUCUAAUUUUAAUUAUUUAAUUUGUGACGCUGACUUGACUGCCGGUUAUUGGAGGGAAACGAUUUCCUCAACAUCAAUGCCAUAGUAAAACGCUGUUUUUGGAUAUAAAUAUGAACUUGAUAGAACUAAAAAUGCAUGCAUUGUCUAACAUAAUGUCCUAGGAGUGUCAUCUGAUGGAGAUUGUAAAAGGUUAGUGCAUCAUUUUAGCUAGUUUUAUGGUUUUGGUGACCCUGUCUUUGAAUUGACAAAACAUUACACACAACUCUUGUAAAUGUACUGUCCUAACAUACUCUAAAUUUAUGCUUUCGCCGUAAAACCUUUUUGAAAUCGUAAAACGUGGUUAGAUUAAGGAGAUGUUUAUCUUUCAAAGGGUGUAAAAUAGUUGUAUGUUUGAAAAAUUAGAAUUUUGACAUUUAUUUGGAUUCAAAUUUGCCGCUCUUGAAAUGCACCUGCUGUUGAUGGAGUGCACCACGGGUGGCACGCUAGCGUCCCACCUAGCCCAUAGAGGUUAAAGCUGCGGCCCUGUACCUGCCACUGCACGAGGGUGGGCAAGGCCUGGUGGACAUUUCUUCUAGGAUCAAGGCUUUCCGGCUUCAAGCAGCCCAGAGACUGUUGUACAGUAACGGUUCUAGCUGGGUCGACACAGCCUACACAUUGAUGAGGAGAGCGGGCUGUUUGGGCUUAGACAAGCACCUUUUCCUCUUAAAACUGGAGGGGUGUGAUUUGUCUGGCCUGACUCCAUUCUAUGAGUCUGUUAUGCAGGCUUGGAGAGUUUUUGUCAAGUCCCGUAAGGCCGGCACGCUACCAGGGAUGUGGCUUUUUGAAGAGCCUCUUUUUCACAAGCCAUCCAGUCUUAUGCUCUGGGUUCAGCCAGCCUACGUUCAUGCCUGUUAGGUGUGGGGUGUACCAUACCAUCAUUUGAUGCGGAGCAGGAGCAGAUCGUUGGAGGAGCUGGGAGAAAGAGCGGGGAUCUGGUCAUCUCGCCUACUGAGGAAGGUCGUCGCUGAGGUCUGACUCCUUGCCAGUACUUCAUCUGCAGUAUGUGACUGACACUUCCAAUUCUGAUCGGUGGAAGGAGGGUCUGGAUUAUGUGUUCCCUGCACUGAUUGUUAGUGCUGAGGUGGGAAAGAAGGCCAUGUACAGAAUAUGUGUAAAAGUGUCCCAUGCCUCUUCCCUGGAAGGAGUAAAAUUGACGAGGUGGGCGGGUGUGUUUGGUCCAGGUGCAUCCCCAAAAGGCUGUUGGCGAUUAUUAUACAAACUGCCUAUUGAAAAGAGGACAGCUGACCUCCAAUGGAGGAUAAUACAUGGAGCCAUAGCCACCAACAUGCAUCUGGUACAUCUGGAUCCUACUGUUGGGGAGGGGUGUCCAUUCUGAGCUGAAUCUUAAACUCUGGCACAUUUGUUUUUACAGUGUCCCAGGUUGGUGGGGAUGAUUGACCUGCUCACUAGUUGGUUCUCAGAUCUGGGAGAGGUUUUCUCUUCCCAACUGUUUAUAUUUGGGCUAAAGUACAGGUUUAAUUAAAAGGGUGCAGUUGUGUUGCUUAAUUUUGUGUUAGGAGCAGCUAAAUUAGCGAUAUGGAAGACCCGAAAGAACAGUAUUUGUGGACAGGGGUCUGUGGAUGUGGUGGGAAUGCUGAAGGGAAUGUUGGCAGCGAGACUGAGGGUUGAGUUUGCCUAUUAUAAACUGGUUAACAAUAUUGAUCUGUUUAUGAGUAUAUGGGGUAUUCAGAGUCUGUUGUGUUUAGUUACUGUGGAGGAGGAUUUGGAGUUGUGUUUUUAAUUGAUGUGUAACUAUGGUUUUGUUUGAGUAUUUAUUGUGUUGUGGGCUCUCAGACCCAAUAAAGAGUAUUUCAAAUUCAAACUCUCUCUCUUUCUCUCUCUCUCUCUCACACACUCACACACAAAAGCAUACACUCUCUCACACUCUGAGAGACCCACAAACACUCUCUCUUUCUCUCUCUCUCUCUCACACACUCACACACAAAAGCAUACACUCUCUCACACACUCUCUG